UGUGGAAGCAGUGCACAGCUGCAGAAGUCGCUCAGACCACUUCCCAGAAAGUGAGGGACUCGAGGAGACAAUCGUCCAGGACCCAUCUGUCUAUAGCGAUGGCUUCCCAAUUGGCAAGGAACGGGCAUAGAUGGUGUCCAAAGAAAUGGAUCGUUGAAAUCGGCGCUGAAGAGGGCAGGAGGCUUCCUAUACCCUCAACCAAGACUUCACAUUUGUUUAUUUGAGGUGGCUGGAUGCCCAAAGAUCCGAGUGUGGCGCGUGAGUCUUUCAUGGAAUGGAGGACCUCAUAGGUGGUAGAGGCGAAGAGCGUGUCUCCAUCAAAGGGGAGAUCUUUGACAGUGUUCUGUAUGUCCUUGGGAAAGGAGGAAGUAGUAAACCAUGAAGCAUGCCCAGGGCUGCCCA